UACGGGAGGCAGCAGUGGGGAAUAUUGCACAAUGGGCGAAAGCCUGAUGCAGCUAUGCCGCGUGUAUGAAGAAGGCCUUAGGGUUGUAAAGUACUUUCAUCGGGGAGGAAAAAACAAAACUAAUAAUUUUAUUUCUUGACGUUACCCGAAAAAGAAGCACCGGCUAACUCCGUGCCAGCAGCCGCGGUAAUACGGAGGGUGCUAGCGUUAAUCAGAAUUACUGGGCGUAAAGAGCACGUAGGUGGUUUUUUUAAGUCAGAUGUGAAAUCCCUGGGCUUAACCUAGGAACUGCAUUUUGAAACUGAAAUACUAGAGUAUCGUAGAGGGAGGUAGAAUUCUAGGUGUAGCGGUGAAAUGCGUAGAUAUCUGGAGGAAUACCUGUGGCGAAAGCGGCCUCCUAAACGAAUACUGACACUGAGGGUGCGAAAGCGUGGGGAGCAAACAGGAUUAGAUACC
rnacentral:rRNA from 1 species